UUGCACGCUGGCGGCAUGCCUUACACCUGCAAGUCGCACGGCAGCACGGACUUCGGUCUGGUGGCGAGUGGCGAACGGGUGAGUAAUGUAUCGGAACGUACCUUUCAGUGGGGGAUAACGUAGCGAAAGUUACGCUAAUACCGCAUAUUCUGUGAGCAGGAAAGCAGGGGAUCGAAAGACCUUGCGCUGAUUGAGCGGCCGAUAUCAGAUUAGCUAGUUGGUGGGGUAAAGGCCUACCAAGGCGACGAUCUGUAGCGGGUCUGAGAGGAUGAUCCGCCACACUGGAACUGAGACACGGUCCAGACUCCUACGGGAGGCAGCAGUGGGGAAUUUUGGACAAUGGGGGCAACCCUGAUCCAGCCAUGCCGCGUGAGUGAAGAAGGCCUUCGGGUUGUAAAGCUCUUUCGGCCGGGAAGAAAUCGCAUAGGCUAAUACCCUGUGUGGAUGACGGUACCGGAAUAAGAAGCACCGGCUAACUACGUG
rnacentral:rRNA from 1 species